GAUGAACGCUGGCGGCGUGCCUAAUACAUGCAAGUCGAGCGAACAGACGAGGAGCUUGCUCCUCUGACGUUAGCGGCGGACGGGUGAGUAACACGUGGAUAACCUACCUAUAAGACUGGGAUAACUUCGGGAAACCGGAGCUAAUACCGGAUAAUAUAUUGAACCGCAUGGUUCAAUAGUGAAAGACGGUUUUGCUGUCACUUAUAGAUGGAUCCGCGCCGCAUUAGCUAGUUGGUAAGGUAACGGCUUACCAAGGCAACGAUGCGUAGCCGACCUGAGGGGGUGAUCGGCCACACUGGAACUGAGACACGGUCCAGACUCCUACGGGAGGCAGCAGUAGGGAAUCUUCCGCAAUGGGCGAAAGCCUGACGGAGCAACGCCGCGUGAGUGAUGAAGGUCUUCGGAUCGUAAAACUCUGUUAUUAGGGAAGAACAAAUGUGUAAGUAACUGUGCACGUCUUGACGGUACCUAAUCAGAAAGCCACGGCUAACUACGUG
rnacentral:rRNA from 1 species